GCCGUCCAGGCUGCACACACAGCUUUUCAGCAUCUUCUGCAUCAGUACCGAAAUUUGUGUGCUGUAUCAGUACUGCAAUAAUUUGUGUGCUGUAUCAGUACUGAAAUUUGUGCUCCCCUCUCUAUUAGAAAUUUUACCAAAUGCCUUUGAGGACAGACUUGAAUCAAAAUAUGCACGCCAUUGUUGCUCAUCCUUUGAUCAAACUCCCCUUGCCGGACAGGCAGAUCCAAUCACCUGGUUGUAAUUAGUCUUUUUUUUUGUUGUUUACGGUCUGAAGCAGUGAUUGAGCACCUGGUGAGGGGUGUGGCCAGCCCUGACAGCACAGGUGGAAGCGAUUUACCUGUGGGACCGGAUAGGGCUGAGCUUGGCUCCACCCCCUCCCUGCCCAUAUUUAAGGACUGGGAACAGUAAGGGCAGCAUUCUGCUUGGGAACUGCCUCCUUGGAGCAUUGGGAGCGAGUUCUGCCCUUUGGAAUGGGGUCUGUCAGCAGAAGGAGCAGCGACUGCACCUGGAGAUUUGCUUCCUUUAGAGUGUGGGGUGAACCCUUGAAACUGGGACUGUGACCUUUCCUGUUUUUGGGGCAUCCUGACCACAUUGAAGUGCUGGCAGAUGUAAGGGCAAUGUUGAUCUCUGGUGGCUGUCUCCUGUGGAGCAUGGGGACUUUACCUGACUGCCUUGACUUCUCAAAUAUCACUGAGAGUGGCUCGGUGACUGCAGCGGUGAAUUCCCUCAGGGCUCUGGGACUCGUCUCAUCAGGACCCAAAGACUCCUGGAUGUCAAGUUCUCAGGUGGUCCAGAUCCUGAUCUCCCAUCACAGUGUGGGAUAGGGAGGGGUCUGUGGGACCGGCAUUGCUUCCUCGAUCCCCACCUACCAAACCGAAGGUGGCUGCGGAGUUGCAGCGCUCCCAAGUGCUGUAACGACUGCAUGGAGAUGCGUGGCUCUUCAUGGGAACAGCAAGGAACCGGAAUCUGCAUUUCCUGGAACGCCCCAGAACCUCGCUUUGCUGGCUGGUAAUUGUCUGCCCAGCAGGUGGCAGCAGAGCUGCGUUGCUCCUGAGCACUUUAAGGACAGCACGGAGAUGCGCGGCUCUUCAUGGCAGUAGCAGAAACUGGAAUCUGCAUUUCCCGGAAUGCCCUGGAACCUCGCUUUGCUGGCCGGUAAUUGUCUGCCCAGCAGGUAAGGGCAAUGCUCACCCACCAAUGUUUACUCAUUACUUACUGAGGCACAAGGUAGGGUUCCCAGAGCUCAUUUCUGCACUUCAU